CUCCCACUAUACUAUGAGGUUGUGGAAAACUGCAGUUUCAAUGACCACUGCAAUCUCUUAAUACACUCAUUCCAAGAGUGUUCUCCUGGGCAGUGCAACCCCAACAGCAGAGAGCUAUGUAGCCCCUGCUGUAGCAGAGCCAGGGCCCCAAUGCCUGCUGAGAGCUGGGACAGGACCCCGUGGUGCUGCAGAGAGGUCAGUCCGAACCCAAGGGGUACUGCCCUCUAACACUUGGAAAGCUGAGCACCCCUUGCUCCUAGGAGUCCAACUCACCAGUGAGUUCUAAUGUCUCGUUGACCUCAGUGUGCAUCUCUCAGUAUGCCUUGCUAAGUUUAGUCUUACCCUUGGUGCUGAUACUGCUCCUGACCUUGCCAGUGAAGUGGUCCUCCUUCUCUCUCUGCUGAGGGACCUCUGCUGGCCCAAGGGAAAAGCCAACCCCCUUCCCUGUCCUGGCUUGGUUGGCAGAGGACCCAACAUCCACUCCCUCUCCUCCUCACGCUUGUCCUCCCCAGGCGCCUUGGAGGCAUUGGAGACAGGAUGCAGGGAAGGAGCCCCCUCUGCUUCCACUACUGAGCAGGGAUUAGUCC
rnacentral:lncRNA from 1 species